ACGAACGUAAACUACUUCUCUUGUGCAUGCUGCCUUUGCUGGUGCAAAAUAUGAGCUUCUUGCUCUUGGACUCUUCAGGAACCAGUGGCGAUUUGUCCCAUAUCUUCAAUGCUAUCGACAUUUUGAACAGAGCUAUUACCCUUGUUGAGUCGAACCCGCACAACUUUCGCGUGUAUCAGUCGCCAUGGUGGGUGGCUCCUCGACCGACCGACCUCUUCAACCACUUCGUUCUGGACGCUUGGCCUGAGGAAAUCGCCCCAAGUUAGUGGCGAGUGGAAACAUCCUGUAAAUGGCUAAAGUCCGCACUGGAAAGAGGCCCAUUCCCAAGGAGUCCAGGCUGUGGAAGCAUGAGCAUGAGCAUUUUACAUGGGUUCGAGUCCUUGCGGCCUCACUAACUCCAAUGAGUCCGGAGGCGCUAUGAGAAACAACCAAAAGGCAGAGAAUCAUGUAUCGUCUAAGGAUACCAAGCUUCUUUCGCAGCCGCUUCACCGAAACCGCGUACAGGUAGGCAGCCAACUUCUCAACGUUCGUGCCAAGCAUUGCUGCCUUCAUGUCAUUACCAGAGAUACCCGCAGCCAACCUAAGGCUUGCGUAUUUAAUGCAAUCCAACAAAACGCGCCCUGCACCUCGACUUCCACACAUGGUGUAGGCCGCCCAUUCUACACCAGGUGUAGAAAUUGCUCAAAGUGCUCGACAUAACAGCUGUAGUGCUGAGGGCGAAGCCGAACGCAUUGACAUGCUUGGCGAAGCUGGGAAGCGCAGCUGAAGGCCUCUUGGCAAGCAUUGCUGCUGCGAAGCCCCCACGUAAUCGCUAGUGCUGGACGCUGCACUGAUGGAGCUGCCGGCGGAACUUGACACGCUGCUCGGUGCAGGCAGCGUGUCCUUAGCCCCGGCCACCCUCCAGGCGCCGCAAGCGCGCCCCGUUGGCGCGCGGAGGCUGUUGAGGGUCAAGCUGUUGAGGGUCACCUGAGCCCCGACGCCGCUGCGCAAGGCGAUGAAAGCAUCCUGAUGCAUUUCGUUUUUUAAUCUCAUAAAAUAUAUCAAAGCCUGUGGUUAUUUUUACGCUGUCGCAGCCUGGUGAACUCCUGAGUUUUGCCGGAAUUUUGCCCGAGUUUCGGCUGCGUUUCUCGUGAGUUUCCGCCGAGUUUCCGCCGAGUUCCCCUGCGCUCCGCCCGCGCGUGCACACCAGCGACUACAGCGACUCUCAUGCACUCCAGCGAGUCCCACCCGCACUGCAGCCCAACCGUCAACUGUGUGAAACCCGUGUGCGCCCAGAGGCAGCUCAUGGAAACCGGGUCAGCCCCAUGAGUCUCUCUGAGCUUACACGCAGCUCAUACACGCAGCUUCCCAGAUGGCGCGCGCACAACUAUGCACUAUUGCACUCCCACCCACGCGACGCGCCAACCGCCAGCUUCCGCCGUGCUCCACCGUACUCAGACGUAGCUUCCCAAACGCGUGCGCGCUCAACUGCCAGCUCCCACUCGCGCGCCUGCCGACUAGCGCAAACUGCCUGUGUGCGUCACUACAGUCAGGUCGCUUCCGAGCCGGGCCGCCGUACAACUACCUGCUCACACUCGCGCAGCUGCCGACUGCCACGCUACCUCCUGUACGGCUGAGGGGGGUGGGGGUGCCGUACACGAGUUAGUUGGGGGUUAGUCGGAGCUGUCCCAGGAUGAAGGUUUAUCUAUUUUUUGUGCGCGCAGGGGGUUCCUCCCCUGGGUCGAUCACCCGCAGCUCCGAGUCUGGCUUAGCGCCACGUACGCCGCUUCCGCGCGCUGUUGCCGCCUCAGCAUGCCCUGCACAGUGCCAGCCCGCUGGGUCCCCACCCCCCGUGCUGCUGCAUAUCCGGGUGCACGUGUCGAUUGGCGGCGAGUGACGUGACUAGUUUGUUAGCUGCGGGUUAGCACGGACUGUGCACCCCACCCAACCGGCCAUGUCCGGAUUUGCGGGGAUGCCAAAGGCCCCCAACAUAGAGGCGUGUGCUUAGUAGGCGCCCGCGUCAAGGUGGCUGGGUUGAUAACGACCCGGGAUCAGCCCUUUUCCUGCCAUAAGGCAGCCACCUCCUUGUUUGCGCACUUGCCUCUAGCUAACUACACACGCCAAACUCAUACCCCAAACUACUGAAGGUGCCAGGCAGAGUAGCUGCAGCGCGUGUAAAGCACUGCUAGCGCAAGCAGCCGAACCAUAUCUCCAACAUGGGUGACGGUCGCGUGGCCAGUUACGGCACGGCACUAAGGCGUCACCGCGUUAGCCGGGCUCGAAGUCGUAAGUUGACUCGUGCGCGCCGCUACUGUUCGGGGACGUGUUUACCGUAUGCCUUGUGGGACGCGAGCGCAAUAAGACUCACCGCAUACGGGCAAGACGAAUAGCAGGAUUGCACGUGUGUACGAGGACAGCUCAGCCAGGACUGGCCAGGACCGUAUGGGGGCACUACUGGGGCGCCUGACAAAGCCCCAAACACCGCCCUGCACUGCUGCACAGCCAGCCAGUACCGUCCAUCUGUGUCUACGAACACGCCUUCCCAAUGUCGCACCCCCGCAAGACCGCGACCCGAUCCCUUAGCCCCACACGGCUGUGCUACUCCAUGGUGGAUUGGAGUUCGCCCGUGGUCGUGUUCAGAUGGUUUCUGCGUGCAUACAUGCGCAGAUUAUCCCCUCGUACACUCACAUCGACCGGUCUCCCCCACAUGAGCCGCACCCCCGGCCCAUCACACAGCACGCCUGGCCCCCAGCGGUGCGGCCAUCUGGCUGCCCACACACGCACACACACAUACACACACACACACACACAUCCAGAUGUUUACGCGCUGCCGCUGCAUCUCGCCACCACUAGUGUGCGCCGCUGCAGUGCUCUCAGUGGGCCACUGCCGCCUGCGCCUGCGCCUCCUCCGCCGCCGCGGCCUCCACUAGUGCGAACACGGGGUCGGUGGUGAUGCCGCAGUCGUUGCCCUUGCGGGUGAUGCGAGCGUAGCUGGAGAGUGGGAGGAGGGUGGGGGGGGGGGGGGGGUAGAGGGCCAGAGAGGGAAAGGAGGAGGGGAUGAGGGGGAGGCGGCGCAGGAGGACGAGGGGAGAUUGACUAAAAUAUUGAAGAUGGGGAGCAAGAAAGGCAGUCGAGGGGACUCCAUCUGCCGCCCAGCUACCCGCAAAUACGUACACACACGCCCUUGCCCCCGCGCAACUGCCGGCCCACCACACUCACCCGUCCAUGCCCCAGUACUUGCUCCACGAGUUCUUGAUCAGCCAGUAGUCCACUCCCUGGGCCGUGGUGCCGUACCCCACCAGCAACACCACGUGGUCCAUGGAGUCAGGGUCCUGCAGGGUGAACGGGAGGUAGGGGAGGGGCGAGGGGCGCGGCGUUGACAGGAGGGGGGGCAGGAAGACGGCAGGAAGACGUGUUUUGCAGAACUACAAACCAAGUAACCAACACCGGGGCGCGGUCUGCAAUGUAAAUCAGAACCUGCGGUGCUAAGAGCAAUCUCGAGGAGGCUGAUGGAAUGCGGCCGAGUCCACAGCCUCCCCCGCCGGGCCCCGUCCCACCCCACUGCCCACCUCGCCGCACUCCUCGUUGUGGUAGACGCCCUCGGAGUAGAACUGCGGCAGGGGAGCGGAGGGGGGAGGCGCAGCUCAUUCCCAUACCUGCCAAGCGAAGACAGGGAGGCAGGCAGGUCAGGGGAGGCCUCCGUGUCCUCACCUUGAAGGGCACUCGCGCUGCGUUCAUGAGCACCGCCACGGGGCCGUGCAGGUAUACAGCCUCCAUCAGGGCGGACUCAUCUGGGGGGUGGGUCCAGAAGGUAGUUCGGAGGGGGUUAGGGGUAAAAGGGGGAGCAAUGCCGUACCGAUCACUGAGCGGUCCCCAGCCCCAAGACCUAAUGAGGCGAGCUCCAACCCCCACAAUUCAGCCCCAGCCCCCCAGCUCCAGCCGCUCACCGCGUGGCGGCACGUUGACAAAGUCAGAGAAGCGCGCAACCAGAGGCGCCGCCGCUUUAUUGCCACCCUUGCUCUUGCCGCCGAUCUUGGCCGAAAAGCUGGCCGCAGACUUGGUGGCGGCUGUCGCGGCUGUUGCUGCUGCUGUGGUCCAGUUGGCGUCGGGUGUGGGCGUGGGCCCCCUGCACCAGCUGUUCUGGGCCAGGUAGGGGUAGUCGGCCUCCUGCGCAAUGCCGCCGCCGUCAAUGACGUAGGCCAGGGUGGGCUCUAUGUAGCCGCCCAUGCAGCCGUCGUUGCCGUAGUCCCAGGCGCAGUCCACCAGCUGCUGCUCGGACAGGGACAGAGACUGGCCUGUGUGUGUGUGUGUGGGGGGGGGGGGGGGACGAUUGCCCGUGUGCAGGGUAGAGGGAGCAACAGGCAUAGGUGAAUGAGGUCAGGCGCUGUCUUGUGGUGAUGGCACCGGGCAUGUGGAGGCUGAGUUGCGAGUGCCCGGCGCCCUAACCCUCGCCUCCACUUCCACCACCACCACACACGCACACACACACGCGACCCGGCUGCUCACCAGUGGCCUUCCACCAGGCGCCCUGCAGCGCGCCCACCACGCCGAACGCCUGUGCAGCGCGGGAAGGCGAGGGCGGCGGGUUGAGGCGCGGAACAGGGCGGCGGUCAGGAUGCGGCAGGUGGAAGCAGCCUGGCGGGAUGGGGCUCCGGAUGAGGGGGCCCGAGCAUAUACCCCUCCAUACCCCCUACCCCUACCCCUCAUGAAUGGUGAGACACCCCCCCCCCCCCGCCCCCUGCCCCCGCCGCCCCCCGCCUCACCCAGCAGCUGCCGCAGGACACCUGGUCCUUCACCCCCGGCCCGUCCGCGCCACUGCCGCGCCAGUCCACCUCCGCCGGCAGCUCGCCGUCGGACAGCCGCCGGCGGUACACACGACCCAGAGCCCGACCACCACCGACCGCCCG
rnacentral:lncRNA from 1 species